GGCGGUUUGGCCGAGUGGUUAAGGCGAUUGAUUCGAACAAAGAAACUUUCUUAUAAGAAAAAUCUUAUAAAAAAAAGUUCUUAAGGAAUCAAUUUCAUUCGUGAGCGCACUCGAGUCGUGCAGCCGUCG
rnacentral:tRNA from 1 species